AACGUCGUUCCGCAGGAUACUUUCAAUACGCAGGUGUUUUGUGGACUGCUGUACAGAAUGAAGUUUGCAGCUCUCCUGCUUUUGGGAAUUAUGAUGUCAAGAGCACAAGGUAGAUGUAACCUUA